rnacentral:rRNA from 1 species
GACGAACGCUGGCGGCGUGCUUAACACAUGCAAGUCGAGCGAUGAAAGCCUUAUGAACUAUUCGUAGUGAUUGAGGCCGGAUUAGCGGCGGACGGGUGAGUAACGCGUGAGCAACCUGCCUUAAACAACGGGAUAGCCUCGGGAAACCGGGAUUAAUACCGUAUGAGACCCCGCCUUCACAUGAAGAAGAGGUUAAAGAUUUAUCGGUUUAAGAUGGGCUCGCGUCUGAUUAGCUAGUUGGUGAGAUAAAAGCCCACCAAGGCGACGAUCAGUAACCAGCUUGAGAGGGUGAACGGGAACGGUGGAACUGAGCCACGGUCCAAACUCCUACGGGAGGCAGCAGUGGGGAAUAUUGAACAAUGGGGGAAACCCUGAUGCAGCGACGCCGCGUGAGCGAUGAAGGAAUUCGUUUCGUAAAGCUCUGUCCAAGGGGAAGAUAAUGACAGUACCCUUGGAGGAAGCCCCGGCUAAAUACGUGCCAGCCGCCGCCGUAA